AGUGAACGCUGGCGGUAGGCCUAACACAUGCAAGUCGAACGGCAGCACAGUAAGAGCUUGCUCUUACGGGUGGCGAGUGGCGGACGGGUGAGGAAUACAUCGGAAUCUACUUUUUCGUGGGGGAUAACGUAGGGAAACUUACGCUAAUACCGCAUACGACCUACGGGUGAAAGCAGGGGAUCUUCGGACCUUGCGCGAUUGAAUGAGCCGAUGUCGGAUUAGCUAGUUGGCGGGGUAAAGGCCCACCAAGGCGACGAUCCGUAGCUGGUCUGAGAGGAUGAUCAGCCACACUGGAACUGAGACACGGUCCAGACUCCUACGGGAGGCAGCAGUGGGGAAUAUUGGACAAUGGGCGAAAGCCUGAUCCAGCCAUACCGCGUGGGUGAAGAAGGCGUUCGGGUUGUAAAGACCUUUUGUUGGGAAAGAAAAGCAGCAGGUUAAUACCCCGCUAUUCUGACGGUACCAAAAGAAUAAGCACCGGCUAACUUCGUG
rnacentral:rRNA from 1 species